CUCUUGGACUACUUUCUACUUUGGGGAAAAUCAGUGCCAUGUUAAAUUGUCCCACCAAUGACCUCAGCUCGUGGGAACCAAGGAGCCCUUUCAGACAGGUUUGGCAAUGAGGGUCUAGAUCUAUCCAAAGGUAGACAAUCAGCUGUGAAGUCAGAACGCCCCAUGCUUCGGUCCUCCGUCGAUCUUCCCUGCGCCACUAGAAAGAAAAACCCAGCACGUCUGCCUCCCACCUACACAGCUUCAUCACAGACAACACGCAGGGACUGUCCUGCUCCCCAGACUGGCUGACUUCAAGUACAGACUGGGAAGCCCCGUAGGAGGAGAAGGCAAUUCGUAUUUCAUUUUCAAAAUGGAGAGAAAAGAUGACAUGAGACGGGAAAUUAUGCAAGAAAACAUGGAUGGUAGAGAAGACUGUUUUUCAA